UACGUAGGGGGCAAGCGUUGUCCGGAAUCAUUGGGCGUAAAGCGUGCGCAGGCGGCUUGCCAAGUCAGAUGUGAAAGCCCCGGGCUCAACCCGGGAACUGCGUUUGAAACUGGCAGGCUAGAGUUUGGCAGAGGGGGGUGGAAUUCCACGUGUAGCAGUGAAAUGCGUAGAGAUGUGGAGGAACACCGAUGGCGAAGGCAGCCCCCUGGGCCAAAACUGACGCUCAGGCGCGAAAGCGUGGGGAGCAAACAGG
rnacentral:rRNA from 1 species